GGAAAGGGGCCGAGACCCCAGAGAAAACUGGGAGAUUUUAGGGCCAAAUCUCUUUCCAGAACGCCACCGUCUGGCCAUCUAGGAUUUCAUUUCCCACAAAUCACAUCAGUUUUUCUGCUGCUCCCGGCACUCCACAUCCCAGACUGAGAGAAGUGAGCCGAUGUGACUCCCAAACUCUUGUCCUG
rnacentral:lncRNA from 1 species